rnacentral:rRNA from 1 species
CCUACGGGAGGCAGCAGUGGGGAAUAUUGCACAAUGGGGGAAACCCUGAUGCAGCGACGCCGCGUGAGUGAAGAAGUAUCUCGGUAUGUAAAGCUCUAUCAGCAGGGAAGAUAAUGACGGUACCUGACCAAGAAGCCCCGGCUAACUACGUGCCAGCAGCCGCGGUAAUACGUAGGGGGCCAGCGUUAUCCGGAUUUACUGGGUGUAAAGGGAGCGUAGACGGCAGUACAAGUCUGGAGUGAAAUCCCGUGGCUUAACCCUGGAAUUGCUUUUGAAACUGUGCGGCUUGAGUGCAGGAGGGGUAGGCGGAAUUCGUAGUGUAGCGGUGAAAUGCGUAGAUAUUACGAGGAACACCGGUGGCGAAGGCGGCUUACUGGACUGUAACUGACGUUGAGGCUCGAAAGCGUGGGGAGCAAACAGGAUUAGAUACCCCAGUAGUC